GGCUAACGCUGGCGGCGUGUCUUAGCCAUGCAAGUCGAGCGGACUUAUGGGGUAACUUAUAAGUCAGCGGCGGACGGCGGAGUAACACGUAGCUAACCUACCCUCUGGACGGGGAUAACCUACCGAAAGGUGGGCUAAUACCCGAUGUAGUCAUCCUGUAUAGGGGUGAUGAAAGGUGGGCUUCUGUUUACAAGCUCAUGCUGGAGGAGGGGGCUGCGGCCUAUCAGGUAGUUGGUAGGGUAAUAGCCUACCAAGCCGAUGACGGGUAGCCGGCCUGAGAGGGUGACCGGCCCGAGGGGCACUGAGAUACGGGUCCCACUCCUACGGGAGGCAGCAGGCUAGAAAUUUGGGCAAUGGGGGAAACCCUGACCCAGUGACGCCGCGUGCAGGAAGAGCCCUUGGGGUGUAAACUGCUGUCGUGUAGGAGAAGGUACUAAGGUGAACAAUCUUAGUACUUGACGGUAUACAGGAGAAGCCCAAGGCUAACCUCGUGCCAGCAGCCGACGGUAAGCUACGUAA
rnacentral:rRNA from 1 species